CUUACGGUUAGUUGAUACGCAAGAUCACUCUAGCCGGACUGCCGUUGACAAAACGGAGGAAGGUGGGGACGACGUCAAAUCAUCAUGCCCCUUAUGACCUGGGCUACACACGUACUACAAUGGCAGUCAUACAGAGGGAAGCAAAACCGCGAGGUGGAGCAAAUCCCUAAAAGCUGUCCCAGUUCAGAUUGCAGGCUGCAACCCGCCUGCAUGAAGUCGGAAUUGCUAGUAAUCGCGGAUCAGCAUGCCGCGGUGAAUACGUUCCCGGGCCUUGUACACACCGCCCGUCACACCAUGAGAGCCGUCAAUACCCGAAGUCCGUAGCCUAACCGUAAGGAGGGCGCGGCCGAAGGUAGGGGUGGUAAUUAGGGUGAAGUCGUAACAAGGUAGCCGUAUCGGAAGGUGCGGCUGGAUCACCUCCUUU
rnacentral:rRNA from 1 species